GACGAACUGUGCGAACGUUAUUCGGAAUCACUGGGCUUACAGGGUGCGUAGGCGGCUUGUUAAGUAGGGUGUGAAAUCCCCCGGCCCAACCGGGGAACUGCGCUCUAAACUAGCAGGCUUGAGUGAGCUAGGGGUGCACGGAACUUCCAGUGGAGCGGUGAAAUGUGUUGAUAUUGGAAGGAACACCGGAGGCGAAAGCGGUGCACUGGGGCUUAACUGACGCUGAGGCACGAAAGCCAGGGGAGCGAACGGG
rnacentral:rRNA from 1 species